rnacentral:misc_RNA from 1 species
GAUGAAGAACGUAGCGAAAUGCGAUACGUAAUGUGAAUUGCAGAAUUCAGUGAAUCAUCGAGUCUUUGAACGCACAUUGCGCCCCCUGGUAUUCCGGGGGGCAUGCCUGUCCGAGCGUCAUUGCAACCUUCAAGCGCGGCUUGUGUGUUGGGUCUCGUCCCCCGUGGACGGGCCCGAAAGGCAGUGGCGGCGUCCCGACAUGGUGCCCGAGCGUAUGGGAAUCCUCUUCCGCUCGAAUCGGCCCAUGCGGCGCUGGUCGUAACCAAAUUUUUUACCGGUUGACCUCGGAUCAGGUAGGGAUACCCGCUGAACUUAAGCAUAUCAAUAAGCGGAGGA